rnacentral:rRNA from 1 species
AACAAACGCUGGCGGCGUGUCUUAAGCAUGCAAGUCGAGCGGCAAGGGCAGCAAUGCCCCUAGAGCGGCGGACUGGUGAGUAACGCGUGGGUAAUCUACCUUGGGCAUGGGGAUAGCCAUUAGAAAUAGUGGGUAAUACCGAAUACGUUCGUUACCGUGAGGGUAACGAGGAAAGGCGCUACGGCGCCGGCCUGAAGAUGAGCUUGCGUCCGAUUAGCUAGUUGGUGAGGUAAAGGCCCACCAAGGCGAUGAUCGGUAGCCGGCCUGAGAGGGCGAUCGGUCACACCGGAACUGAGACACGGUCCGGACACCUACGGGUGGCUG